rnacentral:lncRNA from 1 species
GAAUGGUCCAGAUCCCUCCACUACUUGGAAAAUAACAGUGCUAUUGGCUUCAAAAUUUGUAGAAUGCACUGCAAAUCCACAUUUCCUUUAAGAGUUAGCCAACGAGGUUAGACUUCGUGUGUGAAAUCAUCUGGGAGCAGACUUUCUCAACACAGGUCACAGUGUCCAUCAGCUUUGCUUCUUUGGAAGGCCAAGUAUUAAGAAGAUAAAUAGAUACGGUCACUGGCAUGGAAGAUGGAAGAGACAUAACUGCAGAGGAAAAGGUCCCACAGAUUCAUAGCAUAGGAUGUCAGCAGAGACUAGUAUAACUAGUUUGGUUCAACUGACACAGCCUACCAAUUUAUGGGACGUCCUGUGAGAAAGUAUUGACUCAGCAUUGCAUCUUGGAAACUUCUGCC